GAUCCUGGCUCAGGAUGAACGCUGGCGGCGUGCCUAACACAUGCAAGUCGAACGAAGAUGCAUUUCAGAUCCCUUCGGGGUGACGAGAUGCAGACUUAGUGGCGGACGGGUGAGUAAUGUAUGAGCAACCUGCCUUCAAGAGGGGAAUAACAGUCGGAAACGACUGCUAAUACCGCAUAAUAAAGCGUAGUCGCAUGACAAUGCUUUCAAAGGAGCAAUCCGCUUGGAG
rnacentral:rRNA from 1 species